rnacentral:snRNA from 1 species
GCCUAAGCAGAGACAUCCAACAAAAUUGGGACACUACAAAGAAGAUUUAGCAUGGCACCUGCAUAAGGGUGAAAAUACACGAAUUGAGAAAUGGAUAAUAUAUGU